GGAAAAUCUGUUUUUUAUACCAUUUGUAAAACCUCAUAUCGACGAGUUUGAAUUUACCGCUAGUUUUUUACUAGAGUUUGUAUACUAACCUGUCAAUUAAUUCAUUUUUUUUCCGGUAACUUUUAAGUUACGGCACGCAAACCAACGUUUUAAUGUGACAACAUUAUUGUCUUUUACAGUUGCAAAUUUUAAUUUUGCUCCAGGAACGUCGUCUUCGGUCAAAAACAUGUUUUUUAUGUCCACUUUACUAUGUGAUUAAAUGGAGCUCUGACAAUGUUUGUCCCUACCGAACCACUAGCGCCGCUAGUGAGUAAUUUUUCGUACUUCAGGAAAAAGGCUCAUUCU